rnacentral:rRNA from 1 species
GACGUAGGGCGCGAGCGUUGUCCGGAUUUAUUGGGCGUAAAGAGCUCGUAGGCGGCUUGUCGCGUCGUUCGUGAAAACCUGCAGCUCAACUGCAGACUUGCGGUCGAUACGGGCAGGCUGGAGUUCGGUAGGGGAGACUGGAAUUCCUGGUGUAGCGGUGAAAUGCGCAGAUAUCAGGAGGAACACCGGUGGCGAAGGCGGGUCACUGGACCGGUACUGACGCUGAUGCGCGAAAGCGUGGGGAGCAAACGGG